AGUUUAUUGAGGAAACUGAUUUGCUGUCAGUAUUGAGGCCAGUUCAAGCCCGCAAAGUCCUGGCUGCUUGGAAGCUGAGAUGAAAGCCAGACUCCUGAAACCAGUAGCUUUUCUGUUGGUGCCCACCUGCAUUCUUGCAGUCACUUCCACCCAGAAGUUCAUCCUCAACCUCGUGCAACAGCUGUUACUUUUAUAAGAUUUUGCACAGGAAGUUUGGGCUGGAGGCGAAAGAUUUUCCACAGGAAGUUUGGGCUGGCGCCUUCACAGG